UAGGGAAUCUUCGGCAAUGGACGAAAGUCUGACCGAGCAACGCCGCGUGAGUGAAGAAGGUUUUCGGAUCGUAAAACUCUGUUGUUAGAGAAGAACAAGGAUGAGAGUAGAAUGUUCAUCCCUUGACGGUAUCUAACCAGAAAGCCACGGCUAACUACGUGCCAGCAGCCGCGGUAAUACGUAGGUGGCAAGCGUUGUCCGGAUUUAUUGGGCGUAAAGCGAGCGCAGGCGGUUUCUUAAGUCUGAUGUGAAAGCCCCCGGCUCAACCGGGGAGGGUCAUUGGAAACUGGGAAACUUGAGUGCAGAAGAGGAGAGUGGAAUUCCAUGUGUAGCGGUGAAAUGCGUAGAUAUAUGGGGGAACACCAGUGGCGAAGGCGGCUCUCUGGUCUGUAACUGACGCUGAGGCUCGAAAGCGUGGGGAGCAAACAGG
rnacentral:rRNA from 1 species